GACGAACGCUGGCGGCGUGCUUAACACAUGCAAGUCGAACGGUAAGGCCCUUCGGGGUACACGAGUGGCGAACGGGUGAGUAACACGUGGGUGAUCUGCCCUGCACUUCGGGAUAAGCCUGGGAAACUGGGUCUAAUACCGGAUAGGACCACUGCCUGCAUGGGUGGUGGUGGAAAGCUUUUGCGGUGUGGGAUGGGCCCGCGGCCUAUCAGCUUGUUGGUGGGGUGAUGGCCUACAAGGGCGACGACGGGUAGCCGGCCUGAGAGGGUGACCGGCCACGCUGGGACUGAGAUACGGCCCAGACUCAUACGGGAGGCAGAAGUGGGGAAUAGUGCACAAUGGGCGCAAGCCUGAUGCAGCGACGCCGCGUGAGGGAUGACGGCCUUCGGGUUGUAAACCUCUUUCAGCACCGACGAAGCGCAAGUGACGGUAGGUGCAGAAGAAGGACCGGCCAACUACGUGCCAGCCGCCGCCGUAA
rnacentral:rRNA from 1 species